rnacentral:rRNA from 1 species
CGCGUAGGCGGCUUUGCAAGUCAGGCGUGAAAUUCCUGGGCUUAACCUUGGGGCUGCAUUUGAUACGUGUAGACUAGAGUGUGAGAGAGGGUUGUGGAAUUCCCAGUGUAGAGGUGAAAUUCGUAGAUAUUGGGAAGAACACCGGUGGCGAAGGCGGCAACCUGGCUCAUUACUGACGCUGAGGCGCGAAAGCGUGGGGAGCAAACAGGAUUAGAUACCCCAGUA